rnacentral:rRNA from 1 species
CCUACGGGAGGCAGCAGUGGGGAAUAUUGCACAAUGGGCGAAAGCCUGAUGCAGCAACGCCGCGGGAGCGAUGAAGGCCUUCGGGUCGUAAAGCUCUGUCCUCAAGGAAGAUAAUGACGGUACUUGAGGAGGAAGCCCCGGCUAACUACGUGCCAGCAGCCGCGGUAAUACGUAGGGGGCUAGCGUUAUCCGGAAUUACUGGGCGUAAGGGGUGCGUAGGUGGUUUCUUAAGUCAGAGGUGAAAGGCUACGGCUCAACCGUAGUGAGCCUUUGAAACUGGGAAACGUGAGUGCAGGAGAGGAGAGUGGAAUUCCUGGUGUAGCGGUGAAAUGCGUAGAUAUUAGGAGGAACACCAGUUGCGAAGGCGGCUCUCUGGACUGUAACUGACACUGAGGCACGAAAGCGUGGGGAGCAAACAGGAUUAGAUACCCCAGUAGUC